AUUCUGGUUGAUCCUGCCAGUAGUUAUAUGCUUGUCUCAAAGAUUAAGCCAUGCAUGUCUAAGUACACACGAAUUAAAAGUGAAAUUGCAAAAGGCUCAUUAUAUCAGUUAUGGUUCCUUAGAUCGUUAACAGUUACUUGGAUAACUGUGGUAAUUCUAGAGCUAAUACAUGCAAUUAAAACAUGAACCUUAUGGGACAUGUGCUUUUAUUAGGCUAAAACCAAGCGAUCGCAAGAUCGUUAUAUUGGUUGAACUCUAGAUAACAUGCAGAUCGUAUGGUCUUGUACCGACGACAGAUCUUUCAAAUGUCUGCCCUAUCAACUUUUGAUGGUAGUAUCUAGGACUACCAUGGUUGCAACGGGUAACGGGGAAUCAGGGUUCGAUUCCGGAGAGGGAGCCUGAGAAACGGCUACCACAUCUAAGGAAGGCAGCAGGCGCGUAAAUUACCCACUCCCAGCUCGGGGAGGUAGUGACGAAAAAUAACAAUACAGGACUCAUAUCCGAGGCCCUGUAAUUGGAAUGAGUACACUUUAAAUCCUUUAACAAGGACUAAUUGGAGGGCAAGUCUGGUGCCAGCAGCCGCGGUAAUUCCAGCUCCAAUAGCGUAUAUUAAAGUUGUUGCGGUUAAAACGUUCGUAGUUGAACUUGUGCUUCAUACGGGUAGUACAACUUACAAUUGUGGUUAGUACUAUACCUUUAUGUAUGUAAGCGUAUUACCGGUGGAGUUCUUAUAUGUGAUUAAAUACUUGUAUUUUUUCAUAUGUUCCUCCUAUUUAAAAACCUGCUUUAGUGCUCUUAAACGAGUGUUAUUGUGGGCCGGUACUAUUACUUUGAACAAAUUAGAGUGCUUAAAGCAGGCUUCAAAUGCCUGAAUAUUCUGUGCAUGGGAUAAUGAAAUAAGACCUCUGUUCUGCUUUCAUUGGUUUUCAGAUCAAGAGGUAAUGAUUAAUAGAAGCAGUUUGGGGGCAUUAGUAUUACGACGCGAGAGGUGAAAUUCUGGACCGUC
rfam:Drosophila sechellia strain Rob3c scaffold_5066 genomic scaffold, whole genome shotgun sequence.